rnacentral:rRNA from 1 species
CACGUAGGGUGCGAGCGUUGUCCGGAAUUAUUGGGCGUAAAGAGCUUGUAGGCGGCUUGUCACGUCGGCUGUGAAAACCCGAGGCUCAACCUCGGGCCUGCAGUCGAUACGGGCAAGCUAGAGUAUGGUAGGGGAGACUGGAAUUCCUGGUGUAGCGGUGAAAUGCGCAGAUAUCAGGAGGAACACCGAUGGCGAAGGCAGGUCUCUGGGCCGAUACUGACGCUGAGGAGCGAAAGCGUGGGGAGCGAACAGG